rnacentral:rRNA from 1 species
AUACCCGCGCCCCAAGUGGUGGCCGCGAUUAUUGGGCCUAAAGCGCCCGUAGCCCGGCGGGUAAGUCCCUCGUGAAAUCCGCGCGUAAACGCGCGGGCGUGCGGGGGAUACUGCCCGCCUUGGGACCGGGAGAGGCCGGAGGUAUUCCCCGGGUAGGGGUAAAAUCCUUUAAUCCGGGGAGGACCACCUGUGGCGAAGGCGUCCGGCUGGAACGGGUCCGACGGUGAGGGGCGAAAGCCAGGGGAGCGAACCGGAUUAGAAACCCUAGUAGUCC